GAUGAAGAACGUAGCGAAAUGCAAUAAGUAGUGUGAAUUGCAGAAUUCAGUGAAUCAUCGAAUCUUUGAACGCACAUUGCGCCCUUUGGUAUUCCUUAGGGCAUGCCUGUUCGAGCGUCAUUUAAACCUUCAAGCUAAGCUUGGUGUUGGGUGACUGUCCGCUUCACGGCGGACUCGCCUCAAAAUUAUUGGCGGCCGGUACAUUGGCUUCGAGCGCAGCAGAAACGCGAACUCGGGCCCGUCGUAUUGGCUCCCAGAAGCUAUCUUCACAAUUUUGACCUCGGAUCAGGUAGGGAUACCCGCUGAACUUAAGCAUAUCAAUAAGCGGAGGA
rnacentral:misc_RNA from 1 species